rnacentral:rRNA from 1 species
UAGAGUUUGAUCCUGGCUCAGAUUGAACGCUGGCGGCAUGCCUUACACAUGCAAGUCGAACGGCAGCGUGGGGCAACCUGGCGGCGAGUGGCGAACGGGUGAGUAAUAUAUCGGAACAUACCCUAGAGUGGGGGAUAACGUAGCGAAAGUUACGCUAAUACCGCAUACGCACUAAGGUGGAAAGUGGGGGAUUCGCAAGAACCUCAUGCUCAUGGAGUGGCCGAUAUCUGAUUAGCUAGUUGGUGAGGUAAAGGCUCACCAAGGCGACGAUCAGUAGCUGGUUUGAGAGAACGACCAGCCACACUGGAACUGAGACACGGUCCAGACUCCUACGGGAGGCAGCAGUGGGGAAUUUUGGACAAUGGGGGCAACCCUGAUCCAGCAGCCGCGGUAAUA